AACGGAGGGUGCCAGCGUUAUUCACCAUGACUGGGCGUAAAGGGCAUCUAGACAGCGCCUGUAAGUGGUGAGUAAAAGAACGAGCUAAAAACUCUAACAAACUCAUUCGCACUGUGGUAAAAGAAGCUGGAGUACAGCAUGGGGCUUAGGAACUUUCGAUAGAGCAAUGGUAUGCAGGGAUAUAGGAUAAGGACGAUCGAUUAGCAAAGGCGGUUGGCCCGGGCUGUUCGUAACGUUAAAGUGCUAAAGCUAGGGGGAGCAAACGGG
rnacentral:rRNA from 1 species